rnacentral:rRNA from 1 species
AUACGUAGGUGGCAAGCGUUGUCCGGAAUUAUUGGGCGUAAAGCGCGCGCAGGUGGUUCCUUAAGUCUGAUGUGAAAGCCCCCGGCUCAACCGGGGAGGGUCAUUGGAAACUGGGGAACUUGAGUGCAGAAGAGGAUAGUGGAAUUCCAAGUGUAGCGGUGAAAUGCGUAGAGAUUUGGAGGAACACCAGUGGCGAAGGCGACUGUCGGGUCUGUAACUGACACUGAGGCGCGAAAGCGUGGGGAGCAAACAGGAUUAGAUACCCUGGCAGUCCACGCCGUAAACGAUGAGUGCUAAGUGUUGGGGGGUUUCCGCCCCUCAGUGCUGCAGCUAACGCAUUAAGCACUCCGCCUGGGGAGUACGGUCGCAAGACUGAAACUCAAAUGAAUUGACGGGG